CUCCUUGUGAGACAGUGCUUGGCCACAGCAAACAAGGAACCCAACAGACGUAUUUGGAUGUGUAAAAGACCUCUGCCUGUGCUCUAGAAAUACUUAGACCCCAAUUCUUCUGAGACAUCUUGGAUCAAGAGGAUUCAACCCCAAAAAGCAUCAGGCAUAUGAGUGAGCGCUGGAUGCUAGUGCGAAGUCACGCUUCCAGGACGCCUCCAAGUAAUCAGAGGUGCAGAGCUGAAAUGAGACAGUGAUUUUUUUGUGACUGCAAGACCUAAGAACUGAAAAGGGGGCGAGAUGGGCAGCCUGCGAUCUCGAAGCACAUCUUGAAGUGCUCGUCACAAUGGAGUUUAAAACAGCUUUUGGAGGUGAUGCAGGUGUCAGAGGGUUUGUCCGUGGUGAAUCCGUCUGAGUCAGCCUGGGGCUGAGGGAAGCCACGUGCAGGGCUGACAGGGAUGUUGAGGGAACAUCGCAGGAACCGACAGAUGGGCUCCAAUAUACCCGGGAAGGAAUAUUGAACUGCAGUCCUCUAAGGACAAAGAGGAAGGAGAAGAAAUAUGGUCCCAAACUCAUGCGUGGCCAGGCUGGUUGAUGGAUCCUCAUGGUCCGCCUUGGAAUGUACCUUCUGCUCAAAUGAGGACUUUGGGAAUAAAGAAACCCCAGGUGAUAAGUAAUGUACCUCUUAAUUCUAAUAAGAGACUUUCUCCUCCUGUCCUGGGGAAGUGUGUCUUUCCUCUUCCAACUCCUGGCUCCUGGACCUAGGAAAGGGUGCUCCCAAGGACAGGUGGAACAUGAGCAGUGAAGCCAGACCUGGGUGGUGGCUGCUCGGAUUUAGUGAAGGAUUCAGGUUGGUAUUUGGUUACCAUGGUGAUACAUGUGGUUUUUAACCA